AUUGAACUCGCUGUGAAGAUGCAGUGUACCCGCGGCAAGACGGAAAGACCCCGUGAACCUUUACUAUAGCUUGACACUGAACAUUGAGCCUUGAUGUGUAGGAUAGGUGGGAGGCUUUGAAGCGUGGACGCCAGUCUGCGUGGAGCCGACCUUGAAAUACCACCCUUUAAUGUUUGAUGUUCUAACGUGGACCCGUAAUCCGGGUUGCGGACAGUGUCUGGUGGGUAGUUUGACUGGGGCGGUCUCCUCCUAAAGAGUAACGGAGGAGCACGAAGGUUGGCUAAUCCUGGUCGGACAUCAGGAGGUUAGUGCAAUGGCAUAAGCCAGCUUGACUGCGAGCGUGACGGCGCGAGCAGGUGCGAAAGCAGGUCAUAGUGAUCCGGUGGUUCUGAAUGGAAGGGCCAUCGCUCAACGGAUAAAAGGUACUCCGGGGAUAACAGGCUGAUACCGCCCAAGAGUUCAUAUCGACGGCGGUGUUUGGCACCUCGAUGUCGGCUCAUCACAUCCUGGGGCUGAAGUAGGUCCCAAGGGUAUGGCUGUUCGCCAUUUAAAGUGGUACGCGAGCUGGGUUUAGAACGUCGUGAGACAGUUCGGUCCCUAUCUGCCGUGGGCGCUGGAGAACUGAGGGGGGCUGCUCCUAGUACGAGAGGACCGGAGUGGACGCAUCACUGGUGUUCGGGUUGUCAUGCCAAUGGCACUGCCCGGUAGCUAAAUGCGGAAGAGAUAAGUGCUGAAAGCAUCUAAGCACGAAACUUGCCCCGAGAUGAGUUCUCCCUGAGACUUAGAGUCUCCUGAAGGAACGUUGAAGACGACGACGUUGAUAGGCCGGGUGUGUAAGCGCAGCGAUGCGUUGAGCUAACCGGUACUAAUGAACCGUGAGGCUUAACCUU
rnacentral:rRNA from 1 species